UACGUAGGGAGCGAGCGUUGUCCGGAUUUACUGGGUGUAAAGGGUGCGUAGGCGGCUUGGCAAGUCAGUAGUGAAAUCCAUGGGCUUAACCCAUGAACUGCUAUUGAAACUGUCGAGCUUGAGUGAAGUAGAGGUAGGCGGAACUCCCGGUGUAGCGGUGAAAUGCGUAGAGAUCGGGAGGAACACCAGUGGCGAAGGCGGCCUACUGGGCUUUAACUGACGCUGAGGCACGAAAGCGUGGGUAGCAAACAGG
rnacentral:rRNA from 1 species